UGUUCCUUCCAUACCACCCUGAACGCUCCCGAUCUCGUCUGAUCUCGUAAGCUAAGCAGGGUCGGGCCUGGUUAGUACUUGGAUGGGAGGUACAA
rnacentral:rRNA from 1 species